AGCCUUUCGAAAGAAAGAUUAAUACCGAUGGCAUAGUUCUUCCGCAUGGUGGAACUAUUAAAGAAUUUCGGUCAUCGAUGGGGAUGCGUUCCAUUAGGUUGUUGGCGGGGUAACGGCCCACCAAGCCUUCGAUGGAUAGGGGUUCUGAGAGGAAGGUCCCCCACAUUGGAACUGAGACACGGUCCAAACUCCUACGGGAGGCAGCAUG
rnacentral:rRNA from 1 species